rnacentral:rRNA from 1 species
CCUACGGGUGGCAGCAGUGAGGAAUAUUGGUCAAUGGGCGGAAGCCUGAACCAGCCAAGUCGCGUGGGUGAAGAAGCGCCUCGGCGCGUAAAGCCCUGUCAGCAGGGAAGAAAAUGACUGUACCUGAAGACUAAGCCACGGCUAACUACGUGCCAGCAGCCGCGGUCCUACGUAGGGUGCGAGCGUUAAUCGGAAUUACUGGGCGUAACGGGUGUGCAGGCGGUUUUGCAAGAUGGAUGUGAAAGCCCCGGGCUUAAACUGGGAAAGCCAUACAUGACUGCAAGACUAGAGUGCGUCAGGGGGGGGUAGAAUUCCAAGUGUAGCAGUGAAAUGCGUAGAGAUGUGGAAGAACACCGAGGGCGAAGGCAGCCCCCUGGGACGCAACUGACGCUCAUACACGAAAGCGUGGGGAGCAAACAGGAUUAGAUACCCUUGUAGUC